UAUCAGCUUCAGCUGCUUUUGUUCUGGGCUUGAUAUGUACAUUUCACAUCAAAACACUUCAUCUCUGGGACACACAACCCGUCUCCUUCCUAAGCAGCAUGAUGGCUGGACAUUCCAAUGGUGUUUAUAUUUGUGUAUAAUUGUUUGAACCUUCAGGCACCUGGAAAUGGUACCCAAGGACGAA